ACAGUUUUAUAGAGCUGAGUUUUCUUUUAGUUGAGAUUGUAAUUAUCAUUUAGAUUAUGGUAAAAAAAUUAGUGAAUGGAUACUGAACUUUUGAUUUCGGUAAAUUAGGUGCUAUAUGUCCAUGGAAUUAUAUAGUACCUUUAUUCACAAAUAAAAGGAAUUUUGACAUCUACAACGCACAUGAAUAUUAUUGUAUAUAUUUUUUGCUCCGUCGCAACGCACGGGCAGUUACCUAGUAAAACUAUAAGACACAUCACUGAGCACGACCUCCUUGCCCGCAAAAUAGAAAAAAAAAGAACAUUACACACAUGCAUGAUAGGAAACUACUGAGGUUUAAUCCUAAUUAUGACAUCAUUAUACUGAUGAACUGAUCCACC
rnacentral:lncRNA from 1 species